rnacentral:lncRNA from 1 species
AAACUGUGAAGUUUGUUGUGUAAGACCACACUUGAUUGAGAGUAUACAAGAAGCUAUAUUGAGCCACGAUGGCAAACUUUUUACCGCGGAAGGUAGUAAGAAGUUAGACAGCAACAAUUACGAAUAUUGGGGGUCUUUUUUGCAUGGAUAAGGACUAUGGAAAACUGGUGGUAGCGAAACUAUACCUCCUUUUGCAGAGGAUGCGAAGACACUUGAGAAAUGGAA